rnacentral:rRNA from 1 species
GACAGAGGGUGCAAACGUUGCUCGGAAUUACUGGGCGUAAAGCGCGUGUAGGUGGAUUGGUGUGUCAGAUGUGAAAUCCCUGGGCUCAACCCAGGAACUGCACCUGAAACUACCAGUCUUGAGUGGUGGAGAGGGAAGUGGAAUUCCUGGUGUAGAGGUGAAAUUCGUAGAUAUCAGGAGGAACACCAGUGGCGAAGGCGGCUUCCGUGGACACUAACUGACGCUGAGACGCGAAAGCGUGGGGAGCAAACAGG